UCCUUUGCCUAUUUUUAAGUUGAGUAAUGUAUCUUACUUAAUUGUGAGAGUUCUUUAUAUAUAUUAAAUACAAGUCCCUGAUCAGAUAGAGGUAUACAGAUGUUUUCUUCCCUUCUGUGGGUUGUAUUUUCACUUUAUGUUAUCCUUUGAAACACAAAAGUUUUCAAUUUUGAUGAAGUCCAAUUUCUUUUUUCUUUUGCUACUUUCGGUGACCCUUCUAAGAAAGCAUUGCUUAAUUCCAAGUCAAAAAGCCUUUAUCUUCUAAGAGUUUUGUAGUUUUAGUUCUUAUAUUUAGGUCUUUGAUCCAUUGAGUUAAUUUUUGUAUGUGGUAUGAGGUAGGAAUCCAACUUCUUUUUCUUCUUCUUCUUCUUCUUCUUUUUUUUUUUUACAUGUGGCUGUCCAGGUCCUAGCACCUUUGGUUGAAAAGGCUGUGCUUUCUCCUAUUGGAUUGUCUUGACACUCCUACUGCAAAUCAAUUAUGGAUGUCAGAGUUUAUUUCUGGAUUUUGAAUUCUAUUCCAUUGAUCUAUAUGUCUGUCUUAAGUCACACUGUCUUGAUUAUUGUAGCUUUGUAGUAAUGGCAUAGCUCUUUGAUGAAUGGUUUCUGUAAGUGUGUUUUCUAUGAAGUACUCUUGGUGACAAACUAAUUGGGGACAUUUGACCAGCAAAUCAUUAAUGUGUGUAAUCAUAAUAUGGCUUCACUUAGGCAAGGAUGUUCAGUUCUAAAUUUGUCUUCACUAACUCCCCAAUUCCUUCUUUGCCUCUUUACACUGUACCCUGAUAACUCCAGCAUACUCGUCUUAUACCCAGAUUAUGUAAGACUUUGCUGUACUACUUGGGAGAGGCAGAGACCCAUCCCCACUGUCACAUUUGCCAGUAUUGUCCUUCUCUUUCCAAGACAGUACAGGAAAAGUGAAGCUAAUUAACCUGAUAAAUCAUUUGUAUCAGGAUGUGUAUUGGUGCAGUGAGAAAAUUUUCAGACAAGCCUUUGAUAUCAACUAUCAAAUAUUUUACUGUGUUCACCCACAUCUCUCAGAGAAGGUGUCUCAUUGCAGAUUCUCCAUGCGGUGGGAGAGAGUGGCAUGCUGUGAGGUAGUAUGUAGAAGCAAUCCUUUUGAGGAUCAUUACCUACUUGAAAGCUCCCUGUGGAUAUAAGCUAUAUCAUGCAUAGUUAUAUCCCUAAUACCAGAAUAAGAAAAUGAGAAAUGUGACCCAAGUGUCCAAUGUUUUAUUCUGAAAAGGAGCUACAAAGACGUGGGCUUGGUUUGCUUUUCAGCUGAGAACACAGGAACAAUUUCCCUUGACAGGUUGAAGAUGAUGAGCGGUUUCUGUUGUGGGUGGUUGAGCGUGCAGUGGUCAGUGUGAGGUCCACCUCCCACCUGCCUUUAGACUCCGCGGGCCCGCCGGACCUCUUGGAGGGUGCUGGGCUUUGCCUCUGUCAACUGGGUGAAGCUCUUGCACACUGACGCAACAUCUGCUUCACAGCACCUGCUUUCUUCCAGGGAAGCCUGUAAAUUUACAUUUAAAAAUCUGUCUGUCUACAAAAACUGUCACCGGGCUACACAGCAACAUCACCCAGGUGCAGGGGCUUGAUUUUUUGGUUUCUCAUCACUGCAUUUAGAGUCCACAAAUAAAUCGGCUUGGGACCAA